rnacentral:rRNA from 1 species
UUUAUCCAUAUUGAACCCUUUAAUUGUACUGAGAACUUCUAUACUAUAUAGAAUUUUUUAUGCUAAAACUAGUAACAAGAGAUACCCCUCUCCCUAGUGUAAAUGUAAGUCAGCAAGAACCCAUCACUGACAACUAACAGAUUUAAACAAAAGUAGUAACUCCACAAGAAAACCCCACUUUUUCUCCUGUUAACCUAACACAAGAACACUUCAAGAAAGAUUAAAAGAAAAAGAAGGAACUCGGCAAAACCUAGCCCCGCCUGUUUACCAAAAACAUCGCCUCUUGAUUACCUCUAUAAGAGGUCUUGCCUGCCCAGUGACUCUGUUCAACGGCCGCGGUACCCUAACCGUGCGAAGGUAGCGUAAUCACUUGUUUUCUAAAUAAAGACCAGUAUGAAAGGCGUCACGAGGGUUAAACUGUCUCCUCUUUCUAAUCAGUGAACCUAAUCUUCCCGUGAAGAAGCGGGAAUUACCCCAUAAGACGAGAAGACCCUGUGGAGCUUAAAACAUCAUAACACUGCUAACAAAUACCAAUAUUCAGAUACCCCCUCCCUCAAAGCACGAUGAUUAUAAGUUUUUGGUUGGGGUGACCGCGGAGAAAAAUUAAACCUCCACUAUGAAAAGAGCCCUCCUUAACAAUAAGCUACAACCUUAUGUAUCAACAAAUUGACAUUAUUGACCCAACAAAUUGAUCAACGAACCAAGUUACCCCAGGGAUAACAGCGCAAUCCACUUUGAGAGCUCUUAUCGACAAGUGGGCUUACGACCUCGAUGUUGGAUCGGGAUAUCCUAGUGGUGCAGCCGCUACUUAAGGUUCGUUUGUUCAACGAUUAAAAUCCUACGUG